CUCCGCUCCUGCCUCCACAAGUCGAGGGGGAUGGGGCUGCUCAGGCUCAGCCUGUGGGAUGUCGACCGGACCGGCAGCGAUGGAGGAGAAGGGCCGGGCCGGUGCGUGCAGGCGGGAGAAGCUGGGGGCGCUCGUCGGUUGGGGAGAUGGCGACCACCUGAGCUUCUCCGAUUGACCUAGACAGGGCCACGAGAGGAAAGAGGAGAAGGAGGCGCGGCGUCGGAUGGGAGAGGGUCACCGCCGGCCGAGGCCUGCGCGUGGCGGUUCGAUGUGAUCCAUCCUCGCCCCUUCUCUUCCUCGUCCCGCUGGCCUCAUUCCCUGUUACUCUCCCGUUGGCCGUGGCGCCAGGUCGCGGCGGAGGAUCUGGAGCUGAGCCCACGCAGUUGAGGUUGAGGAAGAAGGAGACGAGGGAAGCAGCAACAAGACUGCUGGCUGGUGACGGGUCAGCGGCCACGAGAGGAGGGGGAAGGGGGACGACGUCAUGCUUUCUCGCCACCUGCACGUCCUCGUCCCAUAGUCCGCUGCUCCUUGUCUGCGCCGUUUCAACUCCAGCUGCAGCAGACAGGGAGGCAGAAGAGAGGACAUGCUGAAGAAUGAAGGUGGACAAACCAGGUGCACAUGAACAGCAAGGCAUGUUUGGCGUCGUACUUGACCGUGCUGCAGAACAACAUCUUGUGGU